UUUUUCUUUUUUUUUUUUUUUUGGCUUUCGUCUAUUUAGGGCCGCACCCAAGGCAUAUGGAGGUUACCAAGCUAGGGGUCUAAUCAGAACUGUAGCCACUGGCCUACGCCAUAGCCACAGCCACACAGAAUCUGAGCCGUGUCUUCAACCUACACCACAGCUCAUGGCAACACUGGAUCCUCAACCCACUGAUGUGGCUGUGGCUGUGGCAUAGGCUCCAAUUCGACCCCUGGCUGGGGAACUUUCAUAUGCCACAGAUGUGGCUAUAAAAAAGAAAGAAAAAAAAAAAAAAAGGGGAUUUCUGAGAAUGAGAGGAUAUUACAGAGAUAAUAAUUCUCACUGAUUAUUCCCUGAGCUUCCCUACAUACUGACUCUUUUUUGAAAUUAGCCAAGGACAUAUGGUGAGUUCUGGUGAAUGCACUAUAAAAGAUGUGUCACAUUCAGCCAAAGCAAAGUAUGUGUGUGUGUGUGUGUGCGCACAUGUGCGUGUGAAUACUCCCCUUUCUAUGACAUGCCAUCUAUAUGAGAUCACUAGCUAUUGUUAUUCAAACAAGAAAUUGACCUAAGGCUACUAAGUAUUUUUAAGAAAAUAUGUUCAAAUAAAUUAUAUACCUGCAAUGAGCAAUUCUUUUUAGCUCUUAAGUAAUUUGUGGGCCUUCACAACUGCACCAGUAGACUAUGAUUAAACCUGUGCACCUCACAAGAAUAACGCUCCCUCUCAGACUCAUCUCAGUUGUGGUUAUGGAUGAGGAAAAAAAACUUUCGCAAGGGUGGAACCAGGUGUCACAAAAUAAAACAAACAAGGGAGUUUUUCCCAGGGAACAGAACCAAGUGUACAGCUAAGUAUACAGAUCACUAAUCUUUCAGAAAGUAAACAAGAGCCAUCAUCCACAUCAAAAACAGGAUAUUACCAGCAUUUUAGAAGCCAUUCUUCUGCCAUUUUUCACUCAUUUGUCUUUAUUUCUAAGAUUAUGGAUUAACUUUGCCUGCCUGCUUUGAAUCUUAUAUGCAUUGACUCGACACAGUAUGUACACUUUGGUUUCUACUUUCUUUCCUUCAUCAUUACAUUUGUGAGAUUUAUCCAUACUGCUGCAUAAAGACAUAGUUUGUCCUUUUUUUUGUGAGUUAAAAAUACAUUUUUAAAAAUUUCUACUAAAGUAUAGUUGGUUUACAAUGUUCCUUCAAUUUCUGCUGUACAACAAAGUGACCCAGUGAUAUAUAUAUAUAUAUCAUAUAUAUAUACAUACACACACAUUUUUUUUUCAUACUAUCUUCUAUCGUGUUCUAACCCGAGAUUGGACAUAGUUCCCUGUGCUAUAGAGUAGGACCACAUUGAUUAUAAUUCUAAAUGUAAUAGUUUGCAUCUACCAACGCCGAAUGAACUCUCUACCCCACUUCCUCACCCCCUACCCUCCACCCCCAGCAACCACAAACCUGCUCUCCAUGUCCAUGAUCUUUUCUGUUUUUGUAGACAGGAUCGUAUGUGACAUAUUUUAGAUUCCACAUAUGAAGUGAUAUGAUAUGGCAUUUGUUUUUCUCUUUCUGACUUACUGUAGUAUGAGAAUCUAUAGUUGCAUCCAUGUUGCUGCAAAUGGCAUUAUUUUUUUCUUUUUAUGGCUAAGCAGUAUUCCAUUGUAUAUAUGUACCACAUCUUCUUAAUCCAUUCAUGUGUUGAUGGACACAUAGUUUGUCCAUUUCCAUUGCUCUGUAUUAUUGCCUUUUGUGAAUAGACCACUAUUUAUUUAUAUAUUCUACUCAUGAUUAACAUUCUUAUUCAUUUGGGUGAACAUACUACAUAAUUAUAUUGCACUUAAACCUAGAGACGAACUGCUGAGUUGUAGGAAAUGCAUGUGUUAAUAAGAUUUAGUAAACACCGCAAAAUGUUCUUCAAACUAGUUAUGCAAAUUUGUAUACUCAUCUAGUAGCAUAUGAAAGCUCCACUUGCUCCAAAAUGCUGACUUCCUCUUUUACAUUCUAUCUCUUCUUGUUCAACUUACCUUUGCUUCUUUCUUUUUGCUUGCCCUCCCCUCCUCUCUUAUCUUGUCAUAGGAUCCUCCAUUCAUUUAAUCUCAUGUGUCUUAUGAAUUCUGUUCCCACUUCCUGAGAAGUACUUUCUUUCCUUCUUUUCUCCUGCUAAUGAGAACUUCUAAAUUUUUAAGGAGGAAGAUUAUCCUAGCAAUGCAAGGUGGAAGAGGAAUUCCUGACACCUGGGAAAACUCACCUUAUUACAAAAAUGAG
rnacentral:lncRNA from 1 species